rnacentral:lncRNA from 1 species
GAGCGGUUGGCCUGAGUAAGAGAGCUUGAGUUUUGGUAAAAAACAACUUGGUUUGAAAUCCUGACUCUGCCAUUGUACUGAGCAGCCAGCGUCGAGGACCGCUGUGAGGACAGGCAGGGAUUUUGUUGUGCAGGUGCUCGUGUCAACCGUGGCUCUCUGCUUGCUGUUCUGAACAGGAGUGCCGAUGGAGACUGGCCUGCUCUGGGAUGUAUCCACUUGGAUUUUCUCUGUGGAGAACUCCAGAUGAAGAAAAGAAGAGAUUUUGAGCAAAUUGUAAGAAAAGUCGUGGCUACUGAAAUGCCUCAGAAGGAGGUGACACAUAGGAAAAACAGAUUCUCUAUCUCUCAGAUGACAUCUCAAUCUCACUGCUGUCACCACUUGGAAAGAAUUUUGAGUGAAAGAAGUAAAAUGCUUUUCUAGUAGAAAUCCCUUGUCUGAAGGUCACAGAAGCCUACAUAUGGAUUGGCUGCGGGAAUUCUGAUACCCUCCCAGAUAUUUUUAAAGAAUCCAGAAGAGUCCAGGAUUAAAGGGAAGAGCAAGGAUUCCCAUUCUCUUCCAAAGCAUCAAAGAGAAUAUAACCAGAAUUUUUUUUUGCUGGGAGAAGAUUGUCACUGAGCUAACAUCCAUUCUGGUUUUCUCUGAGGACCAUUGUAAAAAUUCAUUCUCUUGGGUAGCUGGUCUCAGGACAGGCCAUUAGGAGCUGCUGCCAGAGAGCACAAUCCUCCGCUAAGAUAAAAAGACAAUGGGGAAGAUCCGUCUCUUAGGAAACCAGCUUGCUACCUCCAGGGACAGUACCCAGGAAGAAGGAGACCUGCCACAGCAUGGCUUGACAAGCUGUGUGUAGGUCCACACCCGGGAUCCGAACCAGCGAACCCUGGGCCACCAAAGCGGAAUGUGUGAACUUAACCACUGAGCCACCAGUUAAUAUAGUCAAAAGAUGCAUGUAUGGAUGCCAUGGUGACGAGAGUCGGACCGUACUGGAUUGUUUUAUCAUCAACCUGGUUGACAUUUCCUGGAAUUGUUUUCCCAGUGAGAGAUGGCCACAAGAGGUACUUGCAUGAAAUUUGAGAGGCAGAAGAUUAUGUGGUUUACUUGUGGUAUCAGACUCACAGGGGCCAGAGAAUUCCAGCUUAUCUUCGGGUCCUUCAACUCCACAUCCAGAUUUUUUUUUCAACUGCCACCUCCAUGUCCAACUUUUUUUCCAGCUGGUCUAUAGCCAGACACUUGACUGUGACCUACAGAUUUCUUCCCCCCCGGCCUCACUGUAAUGGCUGGAUGUACUAGCCUUCUCAAAGUAGGCUGUUAUUGACUUCUCUGAUCCUCCAAAUCCCCUUUCAGACAGCCCUCCCCAGGUCCUCCCAUAAUUCUGUAAUGUCUAAUUGCUGUAGUAAAUCCCUUACCUAAAAUUCAUAGUUGUUCUGCUGAUCUAACUAAAAGCUGAUUGGCACAGAUAUCAUUGGAAUAGAAAAAGAAAAGAGUUUUGGAGACUAAGGGACAAAUUCACAGAAUUACAAUGGUAGUAGGAGACUGUAACACAUAUCUGUGCAUCUUUUAUAGAUCAAAUAGAAAAAAAACCAAGUUAUGUGAGUCCUGAAUAAUAUAAUUAAUAAGGCUAUAUGUGUAAAUGUGUAUAUAUUGAUCUUUGUGUCCUGCAGAGAAUAUCCUUUAUUUUCAUUAUCAAUAAAACAUUUAUGAAAUAUUGAUCUACAUUAUGUUCCAAAGAAAAACUUGAAAAAUAAUUAUGAAAAGCAGGAACUUGGGUCCAUGGAUAAGCCUGGAGUAUUUGUAACAGGUGCCGCAGAUGAUGGUAUCAUGCUGAACGAGAACUGAUAAAGACACAAGUCGGUAUGACUCAGUAAACAUUUGCUUAAUACUAUGACCCAGGUAUUGUGUUAGAUGAGGGGGCUUGUGAAGAUAGUAGACAUGACCCUUACUUCCAGGUGCUUGCAGUCUCACAGCGAAAUGGGGAGGGCAUUCUAAGCAGGCCACAGAGCAUGGACAUAGCUCAGAAUUGAGUUGAGCAUUUCGUGUCCUGGGUAUCGCUCUGGGAGGUGAGGAUAUUUGUGUCAGGGGGCAAUUGGAAUAUGACUGUUGAUAUAUGAAGAAAACAGAGAGUGAGAAACCUAAAAGCAUAUUAACUUUAUCCACUUGAAAGUGGGAGCUACUGGUGGCUUGAGAGGCUUCAGGAAGAUUAAUUCAGGGGCAUGUAGAAUAGACUGGGGCAGGAGAGCAGGACUGGGGAUGAACUGGAGCAUGAGGUUCCAAUAGAGGGAGGGCUUAGCCGAGGUUAGUCACACUGUGACUCGAAACACAAGACUGAAUGCAGCUAGUGUUUGAAAAACUUAGGGACUUCUCUGAGAUAGGGAGGAGGGAGUCAAAAGUGACUACACCAAUUUAAAACCUGGAUGACUGUUAGAAUGGCAUUACCAUUGACAGAAAUAGGUUAUUAGUGUUUUCUAGUUUCUCAAAUGCACUAUCAAACUUUCGAGAAAGGUAACAACUUAAACACAUGUCUAAUCUCUGGCCUCUAGAAUCCUACAAAAAUUAUCUAUAGAUAGCAAUGGGGUUUACUGUGCAUUGAAAACUAGGCAAGGAUGCAGGACAAGCUCCAGAAACUUGGAGGAAAUUUUUACUGGGGAAAGUGAAGGUAGAAAUCUACCAUAUCUGGUCAACGCGAUAUGCAUUUUCCUGCAUACGAGAGAGCAGUUUGUCUGGGAAGUAAACUGAAGAGACCCAAUUAUAUCUUUCCAAACCACCACCCACCAAAGGUUCUAAGCAGUGGCCGUUUGAGAAUGGAUGUACUGUGGGAUGGUUGGGAGGACAUCUGUAUUCCAGCAGUUUGUCCUUGGUACCAGAGGCUGCACCAAGCAAGUAGCUGAUGGCAGUUUCUAAUCCUGGCAUAAACCACAGAGAAUGGAGACUGGUCCUUACUGAUUUCUGACUGCCCUGCCACACCUAAGGAAAGUUCACCAGCAGAAAGGUCAAGUCACCCUCAAGUUACCUCCAGCUUGGCACCUCCACAUUUCUCUAAUGCUGGUGAAUCCCUGCAUUGGUAAAGUAAAACCAGUGUAGGGGACAGCCCUGUGGUGUAGUGGUUAAGUUCGGUGGUCCAGGCUCAUGGAUUUGGAUCCCAGGCACAGACCUACACCCCUUGUGAGCCACGCUGUGGUGGCAACCCACAUAUAAAAAGUAGAGGAAGAUUGGCACAGAUGUUAACUCAAAGCUAAUCUUUCUCAAACAAAACACCAAAAAGAUUGGCAACAACCAGUGUAAAUCUGUACCUUUCUCUUUUCUUUUUGGGGGCCUAAAUGUUAAAAAAAAUUUUUUCUUUUUUGGCAAAGGCUCACGGAAUCUAUGAUGGGAUUGUGUUAACUCUUGAUACCUUAGUAUCUUCAACUUGUAACAAUCAUAUACAAUCCACUUUUAAAGUGCACACAUGGAGAAAAAUGACCAGCAUAAAAAUAUUCUGCAGUUUAAAAGGAAAUCAUUCUGUGGAAUCAGAGCAAAAUUCUUCUCAUAAAACUCAAACUGCUGCAAUAAACAGAGAAAUCAUUGAACGUUUCUGAUGUAUGUUCUCUCUCUAUCAUGUUCAAGUAGAUAUUACAUUUGUGAAAUUCGAGCAAUAUCAUAGAAAGGUAACAAUACGAAAUCAUGAAAGACCAAAUGAAAAUUUCAAAAAUGUGAGUAUAGAAUUUAAAACCUCAAUGUAGCAGAAAACAGCUGAAUGGAUACUGCCAACAAAGUAUGUUCGUGAACAUGAAGGAAAAUCCUAAAAUUUCUCCCAGAACUCAAAGGGAAAAACAAUACAUGAAAGUAGUGAGGGAGCUAUGAAAGAUGUGAUCUGGGAAAUCAAAAAUAUUCUUAGCAGUGGGUGCAGAAGAAA